CCUACGGGGGGCUGCAGUGAGGAAUAUUGGUCAAUGGGCGCAAGACUGAACCAGCCAUGCCGCGUGCAGGAUGAAUGUUCUAUGAAUUGUAAACUGCUUUUCUAAGGGAAGAAACCUAUCCUCGUGAGGGUAGUUGCCGGUACCUUGGGAAUAAGCAUCGGCUAACUCCGUGCCAGCAGCCGCGGUAAUACGGAGGAUGCAAGCGUUAUCCGGAUUCAUUGGGUUUAAAGGGUGCGUAGGCGGAUUAAUAAGUCAGUGGUGAAAUCUUGCGGCUCAACCGUAACAUUGCCAUUGAUACUGUUAGUCUUGAAUGCAGUUGAGGUAGGCGGAAUGUGUAAUGUAGCGGUGAAAUGCUUAGAUAUUACACAGAACACCGAUUGCGAAGGCAGCUUGCUAAACUGUGAUUGACGCUGAUGCACGAAAGCGUGGGGAUCAAACAGGAUUAGAUACCCCUGUAGUC
rnacentral:rRNA from 1 species